UUUAUUUUUAUUCAUUUAGGAUUACUUUCAUUUUGAUAUUUUGAAAAUUGAAUGUUAAAUGUUACUUGUUUGAGAUUAAUCAAUGAUUUAUUUAGUUUUCUUUUAUAUAUUUUUCUUUUGGAGAUAAAAUUUUAUUUAAGUGUGUUUUUUGUAAACUAGUACAUUAUAGUUGAAGGCAAAGCAAACAAUAAUAGUAUAGUUUUGACCCAGCUUUAGUCAAUAAUAAUGAUGUGAUAAGUUGCAUUGAUUUAGCUAAAGUUAGCCCCUGUUGCUUCCUCUGAUUGAGGAUAAGAAAAAUUCUGGGAUUCCAUCAGGAGUUGAUUGGAGAUUAAUAUUUUUUAUGCUGAUGGGUGAUGGAUAGAGAGAUUCAAGCCAAGAUGUAUUAUUUUGAGAAUCAUAAAUGCCCUUGAUCAAGUCGUUGUCUGAAUAUUGCAUUUUGUUUAUGUUCUUAGACAUAAGUUCGACUGUGUAUUUGAUCAAAGGAGUUAUAUUUGCUUCAUUAUAAAUAUACGUAUUUGAGUAUCUUU